GAUGAACGCUAGCGGCAGGCCUAACACAUGCAAGUCGAGGGGUAGAGGAAGCUUGCUUCCUUGAGACCGGCGCACGGGUGCGUAACGCGUAUGCAAUCUACCUUUUACAGAGGGAUAGCCCAGAGAAAUUUGGAUUAAUACCUCAUAGUAUUUUCGAAUGGCAUCAUUUGAUUAUUAAAGUUCCAACGGUAAAAGAUGAGCAUGCGUCCUAUUAGCUAGAUGGUAAGGUAACGGCUUACCAUGGCAACGAUAGGUAGGGGUCCUGAGAGGGGGAUCCCCCGCACUGGUACUGGGACACGGACCAGACUCGUACGAGAGGCAGCAGUGAGGAAGAUUGGGCAAUGGGCGCAAGCCUGAUCAAGCCAUGCCGCGUGGAGGAAGACGCAUCUAUGGUGUGUAAACUACUUUUGUACGGGAAGAAACACUCCCUCGUGAGGGAGCUUGACGGUACCGUAAGAAUAAGGAUCGGCUAACUCCGUGCCAGCCGCCGCCGUAACAC
rnacentral:rRNA from 1 species